UACAGAGGUCCCAAGCGUUUGUUCGGAUUCAUUGGGCGUAAAGGGUGCGUAGGUGGCGUCGUAAGUCGGGUGUGAAAUCUCGGGGCUUAACUCCGAAACUGCAUUCGAUACUGCGGUGCUUUGAGGACUGGAGAGGAGACUGGAAUUUACGGUGUAGCAGUGAAAUGCGUAGAGAUCGUAAGGAAGACCAGUGGCGAAGGCGGGUCUCUGGACAGUUCCUGACACUGAGGCACGAAGGCCAGGGAGCAAACGGG
rnacentral:rRNA from 1 species